rnacentral:rRNA from 1 species
CCAGACUCCUACGGGAGGCCGCCGUGAGGCCUCUUGGUCCAUGGCCGCCCGUCUGAACCCGCCCUGCCGCGUGCCGGCCGACGGCUCUCUGCGUUGUAAACUGCUUUUGUACGAGGGUCACCGCAGAUCCGUGUCUCUGUCUGCACGUCUCGUACGCCUACGGAUCGGCUCACUCCGUGCCAGCCGCCGCGGUAAUACGGCGGCUUCAAGCGUUAGCCGGAUUUAUGGGGGUUAAAGGGGGCGUAGGCGGUCGGAGAAGGUAGAGGUGAAAGCCCGAGGCUCAACGGCGGAAUGGCCUCGGAGACGGUGCGGCUAGAGAGGAGUUGCGGUAGGCGGAAUGUAUGGGGGAGCGGUGAAAGGCGGAGAGAUCAUACAGAACACCGAUUGCGACGGCAGCUUACCAAGAGACUUCUGACGGGGAGGCACGAAAGCGGGGGGAGCAAACAGGAGGAGAGACCCCCGUA